UGUUUGCAAUCAAUGGCCCACAUUUGUGAGAGUAUUUUGUAAUAUAGUAUCUCAUAGAAAAUGUUGAUUCUGAAAGGAAACUAAAGGUUUUCUGACAAAUGUAGUGGGGUGUACUCAUUUAUGCUGAGCACUGUAUAUAUAUGGUGGUGCAGUGGUUAACACUGUUGCCUCACACCUCUGGGACCCAGGUUCGAGUCUCUGCCUGGAUUACAUGUGUGUGGAGUUUGCAUGUUCUCCCCGUGUCCUCGUGGGGUUUCCUCCGGGUACUCCGGUGUACCCCCACAAUCAAAAACAUGCUGAGGCUAAUUGGAGUUACUAAAUUGCCCAUAGGUGUGCAUGUGAGAGUGAAUGGUAUGUGAGUGUGACCUGUGAUGGGCUGGCCCCCCAUCCUAGGUUGUUCCCUGCCUCGUGCCCAUUUUAUUGACAUAAAAGUCUGUUCCUCUAAUUAUAGAAUAAUAUAUAGAAUAAUUAUACAAGAGCUAUAAUUAUUAUGAUGUUAUUAUUUAAUUGUGUGGGCCGUGUUGCUUGAUUACAUUUGACUCUUCGGCACGUGGGACGCUGCCGGUUUGAAAGACGCAGCUUCACUUGUUUUCUGCACCAAGAUGACGAGAAACAAACGAAUUGCAAAAGCUGUCAGCUGGAGCAACGAUCGAUACUGGGCAACUUGGGACAAGUGGAUGGAAGUGAUUGACUGGGAAGAUGAGGAAGAGCUGUGCUCCCCAGCAGAAUCACCCUCUGACCAGGCUGACCGUUCCAUCGUGUCACACACCCGAAAGCCAAUUGCCAAGGCAGUUAGCUGGACGGAUGAUGUGUAUUGGGCAGCCUGGGACAAGUGGGAUGAGAUCAUCUGCUGGGGUGAAGAAGGAGAGUGCUCCCCAGCAACUCCACCCAUCAACCAGCCUGGGAGGGAUAAGGGGUUAGACAUGCAUGGGUUAGAGGUUUUUCUGUUAAAUGAAAGGACAGUCUCCAUAAAGCCUGCAUAUGACCACCAAGACAGGCUGAAAAUAGGAGCCGUAGUGGUCGACCUCUGCCAGUUUGAGCUAGAUGGUGUAAAUGAUAAAUUUGAAAUUGUCGAAAUACAAAUUGGAGAGGUCAAAUUGGAGGAGACUGCAGAGAGGGGUUUUAAUUCAGAAUUUGAAUUGGAAAUUUUGGAUGUGGAGAUAGAGGUUGUAGACAGUGAAUUCCAGCUGAAUGCUCUUAAUUGGGAAAUUGCUGGAACUAAAGUGGACAAAUUAUUAGUGGAACACCUGAACAUAAAUAAUCUAGAAGCAGACAGUGUGAAGGUGUCCACAUCAAAUGGGAAUGUGGUAUAUGUCAAUGGUAUGUGAGUGUGUUUGGUAAUGAUGGGUGUGAAUGGUGUGUGUAAGUGGUGUGUGUGUGUGUGUGUGUGUAUGAGAAUGGUGAUUGAAUGGUGUGUGUGAGGUAAUGGCGUGUGAGUGAAUGGUGUGUGUGAGUGACAGGUGUGUGAAUGGUGUGUGUGAGGUAAUGGCGUGUGAGUGAAUGGUGUGUGUGAGUGACAGGUGUGUGAAUGGUGUGUGAGUGGUAAUGGCGUGUGUGAGUGAAUGGUGUGUGUGAGUAUAUGGUGUAUGUGAAUGGUCUAUGUGUGUGUGAAUGGGGAGUGAAUGGUGUGUGAGUGACUGGUGUGUGUCUGGUGUUUAUGAAUGGUGUGUGUGAGUGAAUGCUGUGUGAAUGGUGUUUAUGAAUGGUGUGUGUGUGAGUGAAUGCUGUGUGAGUGACUGGUGUGUGAAUGGUGUUUAUGAAUGGUGUGUGAAUGAAUGGUGAGUUUUUGUGUGUGUGUUUGUGUGUGUGUGUGUGUGUGUGUGUGUGUGUGAAUGAUCUGUGUGUGUGAGCCUGCCCUGUGAUGGGUUGGUGUCCCAUCCUGGGUUGUUCCCUGCCUCGUGCCUGUAGCCUCUGGGAUCCAUCUGACCGCCUGUUCCAAAAGGCAAAUUGAUCCCCACAUCCCUGAACAGGAGAAGCGGUUUUAGAAAAUGGAUAAAUGUUCCCAGAGGUGUGAGGCAACAGUGCUAACCACUGUACCAUGCAUAUGUAUAGGAUAUGUAGAAGAAUACCUGUUGCAGUUAUCUGAUGUGUGUGUUUUUCACUCUCCCUGCCGGCCCCUGGAGGUUUGGGCUUCCCCUUUGAGUCUGGUGCCUCCCAAGGUUUCUUCCUUCUAGGGAGUUUUUCCUUGCCACUGUCGCCUAUGGCUUACUCACUGGGGGCUUUGGGUGGGGGUGCUCUAAAGCGCUUUGAGACAAUGUAAUGUUGUGAUA